rnacentral:rRNA from 1 species
ACUGCGUACCUUUUGUAUAAUGGGUCAGCGACUUAUAUUCUGUAGCAAGGUUAACCGUAUAGGGGAGCCGGAGGGAAACCGAGUCUUAAUUGGGCGUUAAGUUGCAGGGUAUAGACCCGAAACCCGGUGAUCUAGCCAUGGGCAGGUUGAAGGUUGGGUAACACUAACUGGAGGACCGAACCGACUAAUGUUGAAAAAUUAGCGGAUGACCUGUGGCUGGGGGUGAAAGGCCAAUCAAACCGGGAGAUAGCUGGUUCUCCCCGAAAGCUAUUUAGGUAGCGCCUCGUGAAUUCAUCUCCGGGGGUAGAGCACUGUUUCGGCUAGGGGGCCAUCCCGGCUUACCAACCCGAUGCAAACUGCGAAUACCGGAGAAUGUUAUCACGGGAGACACACGGCGGGUGCUAACGUCCGUCGUGAAGAGGGAAACAACCCAGACCGCCAGCUAAGGUCCCAAAGUCAUGGUUAAGUGGGAAACGAUGUGGGAAGGCCCAGACAGCCAGGAUGUUGGCUUAGAAGCAGCCAUCAUUUAAAGAAAGCGUAAUAGCUCACUGGUCGAGUCGGCCUGCGCGGAAGAUGUAACGGGGCUAAACCAUGCACCGAAGCUGCGGCAGCGACACUCAGGUGUCGUUGGGUAGGGGAGCGUUCUGUAAGCCUGCGAAGGUGGCCUGUGAGGGUUGCUGGAGGUAUCAGAAGUGCGAAUGCUGACAUAAGUAACGAUAAAGCGGGUGAAAAGCCCGCUCGCCGGAAGACCAAGGGUUCCUGUCCAACGUUAAUCGGGGCAGGGUGAGUCGACCCCUAAGGCGAGGCCGAAAGGCGUAGUCGAUGGGAAACGGGUUAAUAUUCCCGUACUUGGUGUUACUGCGAAGGGGGGACGGAGAAGGCUAUGUUGGCCGGGCGACGGUUGUCCCGGUUUAAGCGUGUAGGUGUGUGUUCCAGGUAAAUCCGGUUCACUUUAACACUGAGGCGUGACGACGAGGCACUACGGUGCUGAAGCAACAAAUGCCCUGCUUCCAGGAAAAGCCUCUAAGCAUCAGGUAACAUCAAAUCGUACCCCAAACCGACACAGGUGGUCAGGUAGAGAAUACCAAGGCGCUUGAGAGAACUCGGGUGAAGGAACUAGGCAAAAUGGUGCCGUAACUUCGGGAGAAGGCACGCUGACACGUAGGUGAAGUGAUUUACUCAUGGAGCUGAAGUCAGUCGAAGAUACCAGCUGGCUGCAACUGUUUAUUAAAAACACAGCACUGUGCAAACACGAAAGUGGACGUAUACGGUGUGACGCCUGCCCGGUGCCGGAAGGUUAAUUGAUGGGGUCAGCGCAAGCGAAGCUCCUGAUCGAAGCCCCGGUAAACGGCGGCCGUAACUAUAACGGUCCUAAGGUAGCGAAAUUCCUUGUCGGGUAAGUUCCGACCUGCACGAAUGGCGUAAUGAUGGCCAGGCUGUCUCCACCCGAGACUCAGUGAAAUUGAACUCGCUGUGAAGAUGCAGUGUACCCGCGGCAAGACGGAAAGACCCCGUGAACCUUUACUAUAGCUUGACACUGAACAUUGAGCCUUGAUGUGUAGGAUAGGUGGGAGGCUUUGAAGUGUGGACGCCAGUCUGCAUGGAGCCGGCCUUGAAAUACCACCCUUUAAUGUUUGAUGUUCUAACGUGGACCCGUGAUCCGGGUUGCGGACAGUGUCUGGUGGGUAGUUUGACUGGGGCGGUCUCCUCCUAAAGAGUAACGGAGGAGCACGAAGGUUGGCUAAUCCUGGUCGGACAUCAGGAGGUUAGUGCAAUGGCAUAAGCCAGCUUGACUGCGAGCGUGACGGCGCGAGCAGGUGCGAAAGCAGGUCAUAGUGAUCCGGUGGUUCUGAAUGGAAGGGCCAUCGCUCAACGGAUAAAAGGUACUCCGGGGAUAACAGGCUGAUACCGCCCAAGAGUUCAUAUCGACGGCGGUGUUUGGCACCUCGAUGUCGGCUCAUCACAUCCUGGGGCUGAAGUAGGUCCCAAGGGUAUGGCUGUUCGCCAUUUAAAGUGGUACGCGAGCUGGGUUUAGAACGUCGUGAGACAGUUCGGUCCCUAUCUGCCGUGGGCGCUGGAGAACUGAGGGGGGCUGCUCCUAGUACGAGAGGACCGGAGUGGACGCAUCACUGGUGUUCGGGUUGUCAUGCCAAUGGCACUGCCCGGUAGCUAAAUGCGGAAGAGAUAAGUGCUGAAAGCAUCUAAGCACGAAACUUGCCCCGA